rnacentral:rRNA from 1 species
CUUAAAGCAGGCUCUUAAAUCAGCCUGAAUAGUGGUGCAUGGAAUAAUGGAAAAGGACCUUGGUUCUAUUUUGUUGGUUUCCGGAAUCCAAGGUAAUGAUCAAUAAGGACAGGCGGGGGCAUUCGUAUUGCGACGUUAGAGGUGAAAUUCUUGGAUCGUCGCAAGACGCACUAGAGCGAAAGCAUUUGCCAAGUAUGUCUUAAUUGAUCAAGAACGAAAGUUAGAGGCGCGAAGGCGAUCAGAUACCGCCCUAGUUCUAACCAUAAACGAUGCCAGCCAGCGAUCCGCCGACGUUCCUCCGAUGACUCGGCGGGGAGCUUUCCCCGGGAAACCAAAAGCUUUUGGGUUCC